AGGCCCAUCACAGGCCCUCAGUAACACUCGUUGCUGAAGGAGUGAUGUCCAGUAAGAGCCAGUGAAGGGCCCUCCCUGCGCCGGGGAAGCACCUCUCAGCUCUCCUCUCCACUUGGCUCUUACAGACAAGUGCUUCCAGCUAGAGUUUGGACAGGUCCCGACUGCCUCCAGCCUGGUCUGCCAGAAGGAAAGAAGAAAGCAAGUUCCUGCCUGCUGAGACUCUUGAAGACUGAAAAACCAAGACGUCCGGUCUUGACACCAUGCUGUUCCUAGGCUUUCAUCGACAUCCUCUUCUGAGUUUACCUCCCUGGGAACCAGCUGCCCAGAGGGACAUGGGUUUGACCCCUAAUCUGGGAGUAUCCCACAAGCCUUGGGGCAACUGAGCCCGUGCACCACAAGUACCGAAGCCAGGGCUCAGGAGCCCACAGACCGCAACGACUGAGCCCACGCACCACAAGUACUGAAGCCCGAGUGCUCAAGAACCCGUGCUCUGCAGCCAGAGGCCACUGUGAUGAGAAGCCCUCACACCACAGCUGGAGAGCAGCCCCUUCUCGCCACAGCUGGAGAAAACCCGCGUGCGCAAUGAAGACCCAGCACAGCCAAAAAGAAAGAAAUAAAUAUAAAAACAAACACAAACAGAUUUGGUGCUGUGUAUUUAUCAAGAGCCUUAAAAUGUUUAGACUUGGGAGUGGAAAUGUCAUGCUGGGUCUUGUGCCAUGGGACUUCCAACCCAAGCUGUAUCUGAAUCAUGGGGCCAGGGGUAGCUUGGGGACAUCAUGUGAUUGUCCUCAGGUGAGAAACACGGCUCAAGGAUUUCAUGUGACUCACGAACCCAUUAUACUUGCCCCACGAAUCUAGCUCACCCAUCUCAGAACUAUUGUAUGAACAAUUCUGAAAACUCAUCUCCACUGUGUCCAACCUUCAGAGAAGAGACCGCCUGCCCUAGGGUUUCCUGCCUGUGCAGAAGAAACCUAGCCAGCAUCUGCCCACCAGAAGAUCAGCAGAGAGAGAGAACCCAAGAGCCACACCUGAGUUUGUCAUAGCUCCACCCACUUGAGAUCCUCUCUGGGUCAACCCUGUUUUGUAAGGGGCGAAACCAGCUGCAGGGCCUCGUUAAAGUCAUUCAGCUCCACCAAACCUGUUUCCCUUCCUGUAAACUGGGAGGAGCAGACACGAGGUUCUGGAUUGCUGGCACCUGAAUCAACAGCAUCAGAACCACUUGGGGCGGGGGGAGGUGUUGACAUAAUGAAUUUUGAUGCUUCUACCCAGAAAUUCUGAUGCAGGCAGUCUGUGGGGGACGAAGGGCUGGGAAUUUGUAACUGACGAAAGCUCAGCAGGUGUGGGGACCUGGGACUCUUCAGAUGCUCUUCCUUUCGGAAUUGCCGGUCUCUGUCUUCUUCCUGCGGAGUCUGGAAAACUUCCUCCUGACUGUGGCAUUGCUUCAAGAACAUCCAGAAGGGACACAUAUGUCCUCAUGGAUAAGAGCAGGACUCCGGAGGGGGAUUUCCUCCCGCAUCUGCCCCUUCACCUUGCUAAGCUUCCGUUUCUUCCCCUGUGAGAUGAAGAAGAUAAU
ensembl:lncRNA